CUUGUGCUUGCUCAGGCACUGGGCUCUGUAAAGCGCUUUGAGACAAUUGUAUUGUUUUGGCGCUAUAUAUAUAUAUAACAUUAACCCUAACCCUAUAUAUAUAACAUUUAAUUUAAUUGAAUGGCAAGAGGGGCAUAUUACACUGCAAACAUGUAAAUCUUAGUAAUAAAAGGCAAUAUAUGCUUGUUUUUUGUCCGACAAGUUAUUUCAUCUUACCAGGCAUUUUUUUUGUGUUAGAGCAUUUAACUUGUUUUUAAUCUGGCCACACUAGUUUUCAAAAUAUAUUUGGGUAUUUCUUUUUUUAAUUUUCCUUGACCUAAAGUGAGUUGUGAUGUCACCGCCUUUCAGUGACAUUCAGUUUAUAUGCAACUGGAUAUUAAUGCUGUUGAGAUGACCUGAAUGCUACCUCGUGAUUUGAGAUAUUCAUACCUUAUCAAUAUUUGAAUGUUGAUGAUGGAAUAAAGCUAUUUGAGUCAGUUCCCAGUAACUGUUCCAGUGA